rnacentral:rRNA from 1 species
GGGGGAUAUUGCACAAUGGAGGAAACUCUGAUGCAGCGACGCCGCGUGAGUGAUGAAGUAUUUCGGUAUGUAAAGCUCUAUCAGCAGGGAAGAAAGGCCCCGAAAGGGGAGAUGACGGUACCUGAGUAAGAAGCCCCGGCUAACUACGUGCCAGCAGCCGCGGUAAUACGUAGGGGGCGAGCGUUAUCCGGAUUUACUGGGUGUAAAGGGAGCGCAGACGGAGAAGCAAGUCUGAUGUGAAAGCCCGCGGCUCAACCGCGGGACUGCAUUGGAAACUGUUUAUCUGGAGUACUGGAAGGGCAAGCGGAAUUCCUGGUGUAGCGGUGAAAUGCGUAGAUAUCAGGAGGAACACCGGUGGCGAAGGCGGCUUGCUGGACAGUAACUGACGUUGAGGCUCGAAAGCGUGGGGAGCAAAC